GGGGAAUAUUGCGCAAUGGGGGAAACCCUGACGCAGCAACGCCGCGUGAAUGAUGAAGGCCUUCGGGUUGUAAAGUUCUGUCUUCUGGGACGAUAAUGACGGUACCAGAGGAGGAAGCCACGGCUAACUACGUGCCAGCAGCCGCGGUAAUACGUAGGUGGCAAGCGUUGUCCGGAUUUACUGGGCGUAAAGGAUGCGUAGGCGGACAUUUAAGUCAGAUGUGAAAUACCCGAGCUUAACUUGGGUGCUGCAUUUGAAACUGGGUGUCUAGAGUGCAGGAGAGGUAAGUGGAAUUCCUAGUGUAGCGGUGAAAUGCGUAGAGAUUAGGAAGAACACCAGUGGCGAAGGCGACUUACUGGACUGUAACUGACGCUGAGGCAUGAAAGCGUGGGGAGCAAAC
rnacentral:rRNA from 1 species